UCCUAGUUAGCUUAGUUGGUAGUGCGUCUGCCUUCUAAGCGGUAGGUCGCAGGUUUAAUUUCUGCCCGGGGAG
rnacentral:tRNA from 1 species